GAUGAAGAACGUAGCGAAAUGCGAUAAGUAAUGUGAAUUGCAGAAUUCAGUGAAUCAUCGAAUCUUUGAACGCACAUUGCGCCCGCCAGUAUUCUGGCGGGCAUGCCUGUUCGAGCGUCAUUACAACCCUCAGGCCCCCGGGCCUGGCGUUGGGGAUCGGCGGAGCCCCCCGUGGGCACACGCCGUCCCCCAAAUACAGUGGCGUUCCCGCCGCAGCUUCCAUCGCGUAGUAGCUAACACCUCGCGACUGGAGAGCGGCGCGGCCACGCCGUAAAACACCCAACUCUUCUGAAGUUGACCUCGAAUCAGGUAGGAAUACCCGCUGAACUUAAGCAUAUCAAUAAGCGGAGGA
rnacentral:misc_RNA from 1 species